rnacentral:tRNA from 1 species
AAAUAAGAAACAAUUAAUUGUAUUUAGUUUCGACCUAAAAUUAUGGCAUAAGCCCUUAUUUU